rnacentral:rRNA from 1 species
AUUGAACGCUGGCGGCAUGCUUUACACAUGCAAGUCGAACGGCAGCGGGGGCUUCGGCCUGCCGGCGAGUGGCGAACGGGUGAGUAAUGCAUCGGAACGUACCCAGUCAUGGGGGAUAACUACGCGAAAGCGUAGCUAAUACCGCAUACGCCCUGAGGGGGAAAGCGGGGGAUCGCAAGACCUCGCGUGAUUGGAGCGGCCGAUGUCGGAUUAGCUAGUUGGUGGGGUAAAGGCCUACCAAGGCGACGAUCCGUAGCGGGUCUGAGAGGAUGAUCCGCCACACUGGGACUGAGACACGGCCCAGACUCCUACGGGAGGCAGCAGUGGGGAAUUUUGGACAAUGGGCGCAAGCCUGAUCCAGCCAUGCCGCGUGUCUGAAGAAGGCCUU